UACGGAGGGUGCAAGCGUUAUCCGGAUUCACUGGGUUUAAAGGGAGCGUAGGUGGGCUGGUAAGUCAGUGGUGAAAUCUCCGGGCUUAACUCGGAAACUGCCGUUGAUACUAUCAGUCUUGAAUAUUGUGGAGGUAAGCGGAAUAUGUCAUGUAGCGGUGAAAUGCUUAGAUAUCGUCAAGAACACCGAUAGCGAAGGCAGCUUACUAGGCUGUAACUGACGCUGAGGCACGAAAGUGUGGGGAUCAAAACAGG
rnacentral:rRNA from 1 species